AUGCUUUCCCUCAGAAGCCAGAAGGGGGGCAUGGGCGCAGCGGUAAAGCUGUUGCCUCUUGCAGGUUCGAGUCCUGGAAACAGCCUCUUGCAUAAAUGUAGGGAAAGGCUGUGUGAAAAAGACCCAAAGUGGCCAGACCCUGCGCAAGCGGGAGCUACUCAGCUACGUGCUCCGGGCUGCCCCGUUUUUUUAGUUUUUAGCCAAAACUGUAGAAAUUUCUCUUGCUAUAUUUUCAUUGUGUUGUUUCUAUUACUUAUGUUUAUAUUCUCUUGCUAUCCUGCAUUUCUAAUAUCCAGAUUGACAAUCACUAAAAUUUGUACAGAGAGUAAAAGUAGCUAUACACACUUAGGUCUUACUCUGCAAGUAACCGAACAAAUGAGCAGUUGA
rnacentral:rRNA from 1 species